AUUAAACUGGAGAGUUUGAUCCUGGCUCAGAACGAACGCUGGCGGCGUGCCUAACACAUGCAAGUC
rnacentral:rRNA from 1 species